rnacentral:lncRNA from 1 species
AGAAAAGAAGAGUCUAGGAACCGCCCGGAGGCAAAAUUGCACCGCUGGGCGGUCUAGUGCGAGGAGGAGGCACCUGGCGACGCUGAGCGGAUUUACGAUCAGAGGCAAACCGCCGGGCGGUGGCCCCCUGCCGCCGAGCGGUGGCGCAAUUAGGGCCAAACCGCCGGGCGGCAUAAAUGUGCCGUCGGGCGGUUGUCCGCUGGGCCUAAGCCUGUUUUCUGUGACACUCCUCAGCUAUAAAUAACCCUGUGACCGUUCUUGGGUUGAUUUCGUUUUCGGGCCCCACGGUGGGCGCCAAAUGUUCCAGUAUAUAGGGUCCGAAACCGAGAUGCCUGAGUUCCACCCCUCCUCCCGAUCGACCAACUUGCUCGUUUACUAUGUUCUCUUGAAUACUGAACGGGGGCGUCCUGCAAAGAAAAUACUCUGACGCUCAAGUUAGAUAGGUCUCCAAGAAAUUGGGUGAAUCUUAUUAUUAGAAAAGUGUGUUUUCCUGACCAAGGAUUUCCUAUUUAUAAAUCACGUGUUCAUAACUGACCAUUAAUUUUCGUAAACCGUCGUAUCUUCCGUUACUUUUCCAUUGAAACUAAUAAAUGCUUCUCAACGCCACCACCAUUAUAGCUUUAAGUCCCUUAUGCGUUUGGUGCCACCGGUCAUCUUGCAUGCGGGCUUUACUCCCUCCCAUCCCUCCGAUCGGUCUGACCGACCCCUUACACUACACUUAUACAUUUUCCAAAUGUAUUAUCUAAAGAAUUACAAAAGUAAAAAAAUAUUACUAAAUUACCUUAUUUUUCCAUUUCUUAAUUUAUUUAUUUUUCAACCUUCUAUUUUUUAUUAAUUCAAAAACAAUGAAAUCCAGCUUAGAAUUUGA